rnacentral:sRNA from 1 species
CAACGACCCAGUAAAAUAUAUACUAACUUUACUUAAAUGUUUAAACAGGCUUAGAGAGGCUAAAUAACGUGUCCAAAGUCACACAGCUAAUCAGUGUGAGAGCUGGGAUUCAAAUUCAUGUCUCUCUGCUGCUGGAGCAUAAAACACUCCUCCUCCCCAGCACAUCUGUCCACGCAGCUGCCUGGGACACCUGGUGUCUAUAAUACCCUCAGCCUGGGUGCAGCUACCUUUCUGGACCUAGUCGGGAGCAUUGGAACUCCCUAGGGUGAAAGAGCUCAUGCCCGCUCCCCUUGCCCACUCUUGUGUCCAGCAGAUUUAAGAUCUCCAAGGUCAUUGUGGUGGGGGACCUGUCGGUGGGGAAGACUUGCCUCAUUAAUAGGUUCUGCAAAGACACCUUUGAUAAGAAUUACAAGGCCACCAUUGGAGUGGACUUCGAGAUGGAACGAUUUGAGGUGCUGGGCAUCCCCUUCAGUUUGCAGCUGUGAGUGCUUCCACACCCCUUCCAGCUAUCCCUUCUCCCCAGCACCCACACCCCCCAACAUACAUACCUGUGCCUCACUCUUCCUUCCUCCCAGUUGGGAUACCGCUGGACAGGAGAGGUUCAAAUGCAUUGCGUCAACCUACUAUAGAGGAGCUCAAGCCAUCAUCAUUGUCUUCAACCUGAAUGAUGUGGCAUCUCUGGAACAUACCAAGUAUGUGAGCAUCCUGC